rnacentral:lncRNA from 1 species
AAAAGGGGAUGGACAUUGUUCCUUUUAGAAUUCACCAAACCCAUGUUUUAAAUGGGUAAUUCCUUUAAUUUUACUGGGAUUCCCUUUCCAGAAAUUCAGAGCCUGUGUUCUACCUUCUUGCUUAUACUUCUCCACAAGGAGGGCAGAGACAGAUCCGACGCCCCAACCCUGUGGUCUUUAUCUAGGCCUGCCCUGAGUGCUGGAAUUUAGAAGUGACACAGCAUCAGUUUUCAUUUUAAACAUUUAUUGAAUGCUUACUAUAUGCCGGGCACUUUUACAAGAGUUUUAGGUAUGUUAACUCAAUUUAAUGGCCCCAUGAGAUAAACACUACUUUUUUGACCAUUUCACAGGCGAGGACAGUGAGGUGGAAAGCUCAUAUCACUUGUUCAAAGUCACACCACUGGUAAGUGGGGAGUUGGGAUUCAAACCCAG